AACGAACGCUGGCGGCAUGCCUAACACAUGCAAGUCGAACGAGACCUUCGGGUCUAGUGGCGCACGGGUGCGUAACGCGUGGGAACCUGCCCUUAGGUUCGGAAUAACUCCCCGAAAGGGGUGCUAAUACCGGAUAAUGUCUUCGGACCAAAGAUUUAUCGCCUUUGGAUGGGCCCGCGUUGGAUUAGCUUGUUGGUAGGGUAAAAGCCUACCAAGGCGACGAUCCAUAGCUGGUCUGAGAGGAUGAUCAGCCACACUGGGACUGAGACACGGCCCAGACUACUACGGGAAGCAGCAGUGGGGAAUAUUGGACAAUGGGCGAAAGCCUGAUCCAGCAAUGCCGCGUGAGUGAUGAAGGCCUUAGGGUUGUAAAGCUCUUUUAACCGGGAUGAUAAUGACAGUACCGGGAGAAUAAGCACCGGCUAACUCCGUG
rnacentral:rRNA from 1 species